rnacentral:rRNA from 1 species
GAUGAACGCUGGCGGCGUGCCUAAUACAUGCAAGUCGAGCGAACGGACGAGAAGCUUGCUUCUCUGAUGUUAGCGGCGGACGGGUGAGUAACACGUGGAUAACCUACCUAUAAGACUGGGAUAACUUCGGGAAACCGUAGCUAAUACCGGAUAAUAUUUUGAACCGCAUGGUUCAACAGUGAAAGACGGUCUUGCUGUCACUUAUAGCUGGAUCCGCGCUGCUUGAGCUAGUUGGUAAGGUAACGGCUUACCAAGGCAACGAUGCAUAGCCGACCUGAGAGCGUGAUCGGCCACACUGGAACUGAGAAACGGUCCAGACUCCGACGGGAGGCAGCAGUAGGGAAUCUUCCGCAAUGGGCGAAAGCCUGACGGAGCAACGCCGCGUGAGUGAUGAAGGUCUUCGGAUCGUAAAACUCUGUUAUUAGGGAAGAACAUAUGUGUAAGUAACUGUGCACAUCUUGACGGUACCUAAUCAGAAAGCCACGGCUAACUACGUG